rnacentral:rRNA from 1 species
GCAAGGAAUUUUGUGCAAUGGGCGAAAGCCUGACACAGCGACGCCGCGUGGGGGAUGAAGGCCUUCGGGUUGUAAACCCCUUUUCCCGGGGAUGAAUAAUGACAGUACCCGGGGAAUAAGCCACGGCUAACUACGUGCCAGCAGCCGCGGUAAAACGUAGGUGGCGAGCGUUAUCCGGAUUCACUGGGCGUAAAGAGAACGUAGGCGGCUUUUCAAGUCGGAUGUGAAAUCUCUCUGCUUAAUGGAGAGACGUCAUGCGAUACUGUUGAGCUUGAGGGCGACAGGGGAAGGUAGAAUUCCCGGUGUAGUGGUGAAAUGCGUAGAUAUCGGGAGGAAUACCAGUGGCGAAGGCGGCCUUCUGGGUCGUUUCUGACGCUUAUGUUCGAAGGCGUGGGGAGCAAACAGGAUUAGAUACCCUUGUAGUCC